rnacentral:rRNA from 1 species
GACGAACGCUGGCGGCGUGCUUAACACAUGCAAGUCGAACGGAAAGGCCCUGCUUUUGUGGGGUGCUCGAGUGGCGAACGGGUGAGUAACACGUGAGUAACCUGCCCUUGACUUUGGGAUAACUUCAGGAAACUGGGGCUAAUACCGGAUAGGAGCUCCUGCUGCAUGGUGGGGGUUGGAAAUUUUCGGCGGUUGGGGAUGGACUCGCGGCUUAUCAGCUUGUUGGUGGGGUAGUGGCUUACCAAGGCUUUGACGGGUAGCCGGCCUGAGAGGGUGACCGGCCACAUUGGGACUGAGAUACGGCCCAGACUCCUACGGGAGGCAGCAGGGGGGAAUAUUGCACAAUGGGCGGAAGCCUGAUGCAGCAACGCCGCGUGCGGGAUGACGGCCUUCGGGUUGUAAACCGCUGUCGCCUGUGACGAAGCGUGAGUGACGGUAAUGGGUAAAGAAGCACCGGCUAACUACGUG